CCAGCGAUUGGGACGAAGUCGUAACAAGGUAGCCGUACCGGAAGGUGCGGCUGGAUCACCUCCUUUCUAAGGAGCA
rnacentral:rRNA from 1 species